CGCGGACCGUACCGCAAACCGACACUGGUGGGCGAGCUGAAUAUGCUCAGGCGCUUGAGAGAACUCGGGAGAAGGAACUCGGCAAAUUGACACCGUAACUUCGGAAGAAGGUGUGCCGUAGUACCGUGAGAGGAGAGACACCUUGAGCGGGAAUCGGUCUCAGAGAAUAGGUGGCUGCGACUGUUUAUUAAAAACACAGCACUCUGCAAAGUCGAAAGACGACGUAUAGGGUGUGAUGCCUGCCCGGUGCUGGAAGAUUAAUUGAUGGGGUGAGAGCCCUUGAUCGAAGUCCCAGUAAACGGCGGCCGUAACUAUAACGGUCCUAAGGUAGCGAAAUUCCUUGUCGGGUAAGUUCCGACCUGCACGAAUGGCAUAACGAUGGCCACACUGUCUCCUCCCGAGACUCAGUGAAGUUGAAAUGUUUGUGAUGAUGCAAUCUACCCGCGGCUAGACGGAAAGACCCCAUGAACCUUUACUGCAGCUUUGCAUUGAACUGUGAACCGAUUUGUGUAGGAUAGGUGGGAGGCAGAGAAGAGGCCACGCCAGUGGUCUUGGAGCCGACCUUGAAAUACCACCCUGAUUUGUUUGCGGUUCUAACCACGGACAGUGAUCCUGUCUUGGGACCGUGCAUGGUAGGCAGUUUGACUGGGGCGGUCUCCUCCUAAAGGGUAACGGAGGAGUACGAAGGUACGCUAGGUACGGUCGGAAAUCGUGCUGAUAGUGCAAUGGCAAAAGCGUGCUUGACUGCGAGAGCAACAACUCGAGCAGAUGCGAAAGCAGGUCAUAGUGAUCCGGUGGCUCUGAAUGGAAGGGCCAUCGCUCAACGGAUAAAAGGUACUCUGGGGAUAACAGGCUGAUACCGCCCAAGAGUUCAUAUCGACGGCGGUGUUUGGCACCUCGAUGUCGGCUCAUCUCAUCCUGGGGCUGUAGUCGGUCCCAAGGGUAUGGCUGUUCGCCAUUUAAAGAGGUACGUGAGCUGGGUUUAAAACGUCGUGAGACAGUUUGGUCCCUAUCUGCCGUGGGCGUUGGAAGAUUGACGGGGGCUGCUCCUAGUACGAGAGGACCGGAGUGGACGCACCUCUGGUGUACCGGUUGUCACGCCAGUGGCAUUGCCGGGUAGCUAAGUGCGGAAGAGAUAACCGCUGAAAGCAUCUAAGCGGGAAACUUGCCUGAAGAUGAGUCUUCCCGGAGGUAAAACCUCCCUCAAGAGUCGUCCGAGACCAGGACGUCGAUAGGUCAGGUGUGUAAGCGCUGUGAGGCGUUGAGCUAACUGAUACUAAUUGCUCGUGAGGCUUGAUCCU
rnacentral:rRNA from 1 species